rnacentral:rRNA from 1 species
UACAGAGGAUGCAAGCGUUAUCCGGAAUGAUUGGGCGUAAAGCGUCUGUAGGUGGCUUUUAAGUCCGCCGUCAAAUCCCAGGGCUCAACUCUGGACAGGCGGUGGAAACUACCAAGCUGGAGUACGGUAGGGCAGAGGGAAUUUCCGGUGGAGCGGUGAAAUGCGUAGAGAUCGGGAAGAACACCAACGGCGAAAGCACUCUGCUGGGCCGACACUGACACUGAGAGACGAAAGCUAGGGGAGCGAAUGGG